GCCCUUUAGCAGGUGUUUUUUGGAGUGUGUUACAUGCUUUCUGUUGUUAUAACUCUGGUUGCUUUAUUACCCUACUCGCAGUGAUGGUUUGGACCCUCCACCAGGUGUGCUUUGAUUUGUUCAUUGAAGGAACUUUGGAAAAAAAUGUUUAAAA